rnacentral:rRNA from 1 species
AGCAGAGUUUGAUCAUGGCUCAGGACGAACGCUGGCGGCGUGCUUAACACAUGCAAGUCACGGGGGUCCCGCAAGGGAUAACCGGCGAACGGGUGCGUAACACGUGAACAACCUGCCCUCGUGUGGGGGAUAGCCGGGCUAACGCCCGGGUAAUACCGCAUACGUUCCCCUGGAGGAGUCUCUGGGGGAGGAAAGCUCCGGCGCACGGGGAGGGGUUCGCGGCCUAUCAGCUAGUUGGCGAGGUAACGGCUCACCAAGGCAAUGAUCGGUAGCCGGUCUGAGAGGAUGGCCGGCCACACUGGAACUGAGACACGGUCCAGACUCCUACGGGAGGCAGCAGUGGGGAAUCUUGCGCAAUGGGCGAAAGCCUGACGCAGUAACGCCGCGUGGGGGAUGACGGCCUUCGGGUUGUAAACCCCUUUCACCAUCGACCAAGCCCUGGGUUUCUGCUCUGGGUGAGUGUAGGUGGGGAAGAAGCACCGGCUAACUACGUGCCAGCAGCCGCGGUAAUCAAUCGCC